rnacentral:rRNA from 1 species
AGGCGACGAUCCGUAACUGGUCUGAGAGGAUGAUCAGUCACACUGGAACUGAGACACGGUCCAGACUCCUACGGGAGGCAGCAGUGGGGAAUAUUGGACAAUGGGCGCAAGCCUGAUCCAGCCAUGCCGCGUGUGUGAAGAAGGUCUUCGGAUUGUAAAGCACUUUAAGUUGGGAGGAAGGGCAGUAAGUUAAUACCUUGCUGUUUUGACGUUACCGACAGAAUAAGCACCGGCUAACUCUGUGCCAGCAGCCGCGGUAAUA